CCUCAGCUUCACAUCUAAUUUCUACUCCACCCCCGUUUUUCACUCAUUCAUUCAUUCUCUCAUUCAUUCAUUCAGCCACUCAUUCAUUCAGCCAUUCAUUCAUUCAUUCAUUCAGCCAGUCAUCACAAUCGCAACGGCAAGAACAACAGCUGCAGCUGCAGCAGCAACAGUUAGAGGCUUGAAUACCACCUUACUGAUGCUGUUGCUGCUGAUUAGCUAUUGCUGCUGUUCGUUGCUGCUGUUUCAGUUGCAACUGUGACCCUGCUCAACCGUUACAUAUAUAGGCCUGUGAUACGGCAACAACACUUCAGUUGAAAGAUUCACGCCGGCAACUGCAAAACUCAGCGACUUCCGAUAACAACGUGUUUCUACUAGAGGAACAAAAAAGAUGGGAAUAAAUAUAAUUCAUGUGCUCUGUCUCGUUGCCGUGUUUGCUUCAAGCGUACAUUCAUUGCCGAAGCGGAAUGACCAUGUUAUUACUCUGCGUUCGUUACGACAAACCGGCCUCAGUGAUUCUGACAGUCGAGCAUUACUUCAAGCAUACAUUCUCGGAAAGCUAUCCAACGUAGACAUUGCUGGUAACAAGGAAGCAGACAAUUCAGAUUAUACUACCAUUAAGAGGAAAGCAUUUUGGAGACCUAUGGGUUACCUUCCUUUUGAUAACCAUGGCGGUAGUGGCGCUAGCAGCAGCAACGAUAACUCUCCCAGUGGAGGCACAGGAUCUGCUGUGUUCAGAUAUGGUUAAGAGACUCUGAAAAAAAAAUCAAAUAUAUAAUGAGGUGAGAAUUAAAGAGUACCAGUAUGAACUAAGUAAAGACCUAACGAAUUGGUUAUUGUCUUCAGCGAGGUUGAUUCAAUUAAAAUAGUUAUUCUUCUUCA